rnacentral:misc_RNA from 1 species
UCCGGUUUGGCACCGGCAGUCUUCCUAGAGUCCCCGCCAUUACGCGCUGGCAACUAAGGACAAGGGUUGCGCUCGUUACGGGACUUAACCCAACAUCUCACGACACGAGCUGACGACGGCCAUGCAGCACCUGUCUCAAUGUUCCCGAAGGCACCAAUCCAUCUCUGGAAAGUUCAUUGGAUGUCAAGGCCUGGUAAGGUUCUUCGCGUUGCUUCGAAUUAAACCACAUGCUCCGCCGCUUGUGCGGGCCCCCGUCAAUUCCUUUGAGUUUUAGCCUUGCGGCCGUACUCCCCAGGCGGGGCACUUAAUGCGUUAGCUUUGGCACCGGAGGAGUCGACACCUCCGACACCUAGUGCCCAUCGUUUACGGCGUGGACUAC